rnacentral:rRNA from 1 species
AUUGAACGCUGGCGGCAUGCCUUACACAUGCAAGUCGAACGGUAACGGGUCCUUCGGGAUGCCGACGAGUGGCGAACGGGUGAGUAAUAUAUCGGAACGUGCCCAGUAGUGGGGGAUAACUGCUCGAAAGAGCAGCUAAUACCGCAUACGACCUGAGGGUGAAAGGGGGGGAUUGCAAGACCUCUCGCUAUUGGAGCGGCCGACAUCAGAUUAGCUAGUUGGUGGGGUAAAGGCCUACCAAGGCAACGAUCUGUAGUUGGUCUGAGAGGACGACCAGCCACACUGGGACUGAGACACGGCCCAGACUCCUACGGGAGGCAGCAGUGGGGAAUUUUGGACAAUGGGCGCAAGCCUGAUCCAGCAAUGCCGCGUGCAGGAAGAAGGCCUUCGGGUUGUAAACUGCUUUUGUCAGGGAAGAAAUCUUCUGGGCUAAUACCCCGGGAGGAUGACGGUACCUGAAGAAUAAGCACCGGCUAACUACGUGCCAGCCGCCGCUGUAA